rnacentral:tRNA from 1 species
AGGGUUAUAGUUAACUAUAACAUUUAAUUUGCAAUUAAAAGGUAUUGACAUGUUCAAUUAACCUUA